rfam:Dipodomys ordii contig_26410, whole genome shotgun sequence.
GGGAAGGUGGCUCAGUGGUAGAGCGCUUGCCUUGCAUACAUGAGGCCCUGAGUUCGAUUCCUCAGCGCCA